ensembl:lncRNA LINC00635 long intergenic non-protein coding RNA 635
CUCACUCUCACGAGAACAGCAUGUGGGAAACCAGGGAAACUGUCCCCAUGAUCCAGUGACCUCCCACCAGGUCCCUCCCUUGACACAACAGAGAUUACAAUUUGAGAUGAGAUUUGGAUGGAGACACAGAGCCAAACCAUAUUAAGCCUGUUCUGCUGGGACACAGAAUCACUUGCUCCAUCUCAUACAUUGAUGAUGAUUAAUUUGUAUGUGUACCUUCCAAAAAAGAUGGUUGUGUUUGAAUGGAGGCCUUCUGGACAGGAAAAUAUACAGUGAACCCACAUGUUGAAGCUUUCUAGUAUAAUAAAAAUUUCAACUGUUCUGUUGAAUCAUCUGCCUGAUUGGAGGCUACAGAAAAGAUGUCAUCUUAGGAGUGCUUGCUCUGAGUGAGGCUCAUCUUCAAAUCUGAAUGACCACAAGGAGAUUUGAUUAUACAUGUGAACACCUCAGAAGGCACAGCCCACCCAGAAGGCAGACAGGUCAGGCUGCUUUUUCUUCAUUGCUUGGAUUCAAUCCUCCGGGCGGCUCAGGCUCAAACAUAACUUAAGCAUGAUUAAACUUUAGAAGAAGCUGCCAGGAAGACUGUGAAAUCUUCAUGCCCAAGGAUCCCUAAAAUUAGGAGCAACAACCACUUGGCUCAGACGGUUUAUGGAGGCAAAGGUUUGGAUGGGAUUAGAGAUUUCUAAAUGUGAGUUCGUGUCCUCUGCCAGACCACCUUACUUCCACCAUUCCUCAGCAAAUCAAGAAAAACAGGAGAAAAGACAUGCCUUUCCAUAAGUUAAAUCUAUUCUGUUUUAAUUCUAUAUUAUAUCUGCUGUACAACUUCUUUUGUUUGUAACACCAUAUUGUUGCUAGUAACUGGAAAUUAAUUUUCACAUGCCUCAGCUUAGAAAAAUAAAAAGCAGCCCUGCAUCA